GAUGAACGCUGGCGGCGUGCCUAAUACAUGCAAGUCGAGCGAACGGACGAGAAGCUUGCUUCUCUGAUGUUAGCGGCGGACGGGUGAGUAACACGUGGAUAACCUACCUAUAAGACUGGGAUAACUUCGGGAAACCGUAGCUAAUACCGGAUAAUAUUUUGAACCGCAUGGUUCAAAAGUGAAAGACGGUCUUGCUGUCACUUAUAGAUGGAUCCGCGCUGCAUUAGCUAGUUGGUAAGGUAACGGCUUACCAAGGCAACGAUGCAUAGCCGACCUGAGAGGGUGAUCGGCCACACUGGAACUGAGACACGGACCAGACUCCUACGGGAGGCAGCAGUAGGGAAUCUUCCGCAAUGGGCGAAAGCAUGACGGAGCAACGCCGCGUGAGUUAUGAAGGUCUUCGGAUCGUAAAACUCUGUUAUUAGGGAAGAACAUAUGUGUAAGUAACUGUGCACAUCUUGACGGUACCUAAUCAGAAAGCCACGGCUAACUACGUG
rnacentral:rRNA from 1 species